GUGAUAUGAGGAAUCACAGCACUGGGCACUGAUAAAUAUCGUGAGUGACAUUGCUUAUAUGGUAGGCCUCAGAAACCUACCGCUACUGAUCUU
rnacentral:snoRNA from 1 species